CCGGACGGUUCCGGAACCGUAUGGUAGCGGUUCCGGCUCCGGAACCGCCAGAACCGGAACCGUCAGAACCGGAACCGGCAGACCCAAAUAGACCCAGAACCGGAAUCGAAUACAGCCUUACCUAAAUUAGACGUGCCUAAUAAAUUAACCAAAGUGCAUGGAGCCGAAUUUCAUCAUUUCUUGAGUUAAAGUUUGAAAAUAGAAAAUGUUUCAUUUCCUCAGUGAUUUUAUCGGACAUUGAGUCCGAAUUUGAGCCUUUAAAUUUGGAAAAUUUAUUUAAAGAAAAGAAAAGCCACAAAUUAAUGAACAAGAAACAAAAAAGAAA
rnacentral:lncRNA from 1 species